CACCAUCGCCACUCCGUUAUUGUGAUCCAUCCAGUUCAGUAAUUGUUAGAUCCAGCACCGAAAUAAAUUACAAGUCUGCACAGCAACUCUGCAAGGUGUACAAUGGAACAAUUAUCUCAGAUCAGUCAUUCUUUGAUGGAUGUUCGCAUCGAGUUGCAACCAAAGACAUUAUAGCGUGGAGGGGAGUGGCAACAUUGUCGGGAUAUGCACAUGUAACAAUAGCAGGAUUCGACGACCCGCAGCCCAUAGAUCAAAAUCGUUACGCUAUAUGUGAAAUACGUUGUCUUCCCCGACGAUAUGACCAGACGAAACCUCAAACACUGCAUAGCGAUAUCACGUGCCGAUACGACGAACUGAUCAUGGACCACAAUACAUGCCAACUAUCAAAGAGCAUAGUGAGAGUCAGCCUUGUCGGCCUCAUAACGAGCUACACUACAGCGCAAGCAAUCUGUAGCUUUUACAAUGGAACAAUCCUUUCAGAUG